rnacentral:lncRNA from 1 species
UUAGAGAGAGAACUGAGAGGUGAAGGAAGAACAAGGUUAGAGGAAGGGAGAAACUUGAAGAUUGAAGCAAUUAGGAGCUAAAGUGAAGCCUAAGUUAAGAUUAAACAUCAUCUAAGGUAAGGGGGUUUGUUUUCAUCAUAAUCAAUUCAAAUUUUUGCAUUUUCUCAUGUUUUACGAAAAUGGGUUGAUGAACAAUUGAUGCUAAAUUCGUGCUCUUACUGUGAUGAUAUUUUCUUGUGCAUGAAUUGAUGAUUAUGGUAUGUUUGUGGGUGAAAUUACAUGUUCAAAGCAUGCAUAAUUGUUAAGUUGUGAAAUUAUAACCAAUUUGUGAAUUUUUGAUGUGUUGUUGAGAAAUAAGAUGUGAUUCAUGCUCUUUGAUGUUGUUGUUGUUAAAUGAUGAUUAUUGUGAGUGAACCAUGACUUGGGUAUACAUGUUCAUGGGUUGUUGAUGAGAAAAAUGAGAUGUUGUUGUUGUUUUGAGAAAAUGGGUCAAAUGGUGAUGUUGUUUAAAUUGAUGUUUGAUUCAAGUUUGUAUAUGAUUUUAAGUAUCUUUUCAUGUAUAAAAACGUUUGGGUAAACUUUGGAAUCAAUUUGGGCAUUGGGAAGUUGAAAAUUGGGAUUUUGGGGUGAAAAUGGAUUUUUCACGAAAACAGAGUUUUCUGCAAACUGUCAACACUCGCGAGGCGAGUGGGAGGCGAGCUGAUGGCAAGUAGCCACUGGAAUUGCUCGCCAUGGCGAGUAACCCUUACUCGCGAGGCGAGCUGCCCAGUGACAGCUUUCCCAAUUUCGCGCUCAUGCAUCGUUUCCGCAUAUUUCUGUUUUGUUUUGGACUUUGGAUAAAACAUAAAAGUUGUAGACAAUUGAGUUGGUAUUCCUUUGGCUUUGGUUUGACUUGAAAAUAUUAUUUUGUUUUUGAAUUAUGAAGAAAAUACUCUAAGGAUGUUUUACUAAAACUUUACGAAAACUUCCGCACCAUUGCUUCUAAGUCAACCCAACCCUUAUGGAUAGUUUCCAAACUUCAAAGUCUGUUGUUAUGAGUUCAUUUAAAAGUGUUAGAGUAUUUGAAACUUGGUUUACUUGAAAAUGGGGAUGUAUGGAUAAUUUAUGAUACGUUGAUAUGAUAUUAAGAUAGUGUGUUGUAUGUUCUCUUAAUUAAUACUUGAGAAUUAUUGUAAUGAUAAGAUGAGAUCGAUGAGUUCAUAUAUAUUGUUAUUGUGAUAUGAUGAUGAUUAUUUAUGUGGUGAUGAAUUAUUGGUGUGAUCGCGUAAAUGCAAAUAAUAUUGGUGAGAAUUUGGUGAGUUGUUGUGUGGACAUAUGCAUUAUUAUUGAGUCAUAUGUUCAUGCAUACAUGACUGAUGGAGAUGGAUAUUUUACAUAUCUAAAUGGUGAUGAUUUUGGUGAUGAUUAUGAUGUUCUAUCGGCAUCAUGGGCGACGGCCUAAUUAUUAGUGAGAAUGGUACCGCAUGCAUAUAGAGAUAUGUCUAGGAUCAUAUCAUGUUGUGGCAUGAGUCCUAGUUGUGAAAUUACUUGAUGUACUUGUGGUUGUACGUGAUUAACGGUGAUGUUUGUAUUUGAUGAAUUGUUGUGUCAUGUUAUGAUUAAUUUUGUGAAUGAUGAAUAUUGAUAAAGAUGUGUUCAUUGAAUUUAUGUCGGCGAGACUUGGAUUGUGGUGAUAAUGCAUGUAUGGAAUUUAUCUAUUUUGAUUCAUUACAUGAUAUUGGCUAUGCUAUUCCUGCUUAUCUGUAUUAUUGAUUAUGUUGAUGUAAUGCUCACCCCCAAUGGUUUUAACCGCCUACUUGCCUGUAUGGGUGAGUAGACGUUGUGCAGGAGUAGUGCUCGGUGAGUCUUGCUUGGGAUAUCGGGAGCUUCCUCCGAUAUCGGUGUUGAGUCGGCUCUGAUCUAGGCUUGUUGUGUCGGUCUAGAUUAGGUUGUUUUAUUUUCCUUUGGAUUAUUGUUUUGUUGAUGACUGCCCGUAUGUUUGGGUUUUGAGAUUCAUCUUUGAGAUAUGAUUUAUUUAUUCAUGGCAUGUACAUAUUUUGAUCACUCUGAUUUAUAUUCCGCUGUAAAUGUUGAGGUUUAUAUACAUGUCUAUCCGUUUUGAAUUUUGAAUGUGGCGUAACCUCUAUUUCUUGAAUAAAUGUAUUAUUCGCAUGUUUAAUUGCUUAAAUAGAAGUAGGGCG